AUUGAACGCUGGCGGCAGGCCUAACACAUGCAAGUCGAACGAGUGGCGGACGGGUGAGUAAUGUCUGGGAAACUGCCUGAUGGAGGGGGAUAAAUACUGGAAACGGUAGCUAAUACCGCAUACCAUCAGAUGUGCUCAGAUGGGAUUAGCUUGUUGGUGGGGUAACGGCUCACCAAGGCGACGCGCCCUAGCUGGCCUGAGAGGAUGACCGGCCACACUGGAACUGAGACACGGCCCAGACUCCUACGGGAGGCAGCAGUAGGGAAUAUUGCACAAUGGGCGCAAGCCUGAUGCAGCAAUGCCGCGUGUAUGAAGAAGGCCUUCGGGUUGUAAAGUACUUUCAGCGGGGAGGCGGUACCCACAGAAGAAGCACCGGCUAACUCCGUGCCAGCAGCCGCGGUAAUAC
rnacentral:rRNA from 1 species